rnacentral:rRNA from 1 species
GACGAACGCUGGCGGCGUGCUUAACACAUGCAAGUCGAACGGAAAGGCCCUGCUUUUGUGGGGUGCUCGAGUGGCGAACGGGUGAGUAACACGUGAGUAACCUGCCCUUGACUUUGGGAUAACUUCAGGAAACUGGGGCUAAUACCGGAUAGGAGCUCCUGCUGCAUGGUGGGGGUUGGAAAGUUUCGGCGGUUGGGGCUGGACUCGCGGCUUAUCAGCUUGUUGGUGGGGUAGUGGCUUACCAAGGCUUUGACGGGUAGCCGGCCUGAGAGGGUGACCGGCCACAUUGGGACUGAGAGACGGCCCAGACUCCUACGGGAGGCAGCAGUGGGGAAUCUUGCACAAUGGGCGGAAGCCUGAUGCAGCAACGCCGCGUGCGGGAUGACGGCCUUCGGGUUGUAAACCGCUUUCGCCUGUGACGAAGCGUGAGUGACGGUAAUGGGUAAAGAAGCACCGGCUAACUACGUG